rnacentral:rRNA from 1 species
CGGGUGAGUAACGCGUGGGUAACCUGCCUUGUACAGGGGGAUAACAGUUGGAAACGGUGGCUAAUACCGCAUAAUGUCUACGGACCAAAGCAGGGGCUCUUCGGACCUUGCACUAUCGGAUGAACCCAUAUGGGAUUAGCUAGUAGGUGGGGUAAAGGCUCACCUAGGCGACGAUCUCUAGCUGGUCUGAGAGGAUGAUCAGCCACACUGGGACUGAGACACGGCCCAG